rnacentral:rRNA from 1 species
GUGAGGAAUAUUGGACAAUGGAUGGAAAUCUGAUCCAGCCAUGCCGCGUGCAGGAAGACGGCCCUAUGGGUUGUAAACUGCUUUUAUACGGGAGCAAUAAGGUCUAUGCAUAGAUUGAUGAGAGUACCGUAUGAAUAAGCAUCGGCUAACUCCGUGCCAGCAGCCGCGGUAAUACGGAGGAUGCGAGCGUUAUCCGGAUUUAUUGGGUUUAAAGGGUGCGUAGGCGGCUUUGUAAGUCAGCGGUGAAAUUUUGCAGCUUAACUGUAAAAGCGCCGUUGAUACUGUGAAGCUAGGAUUUGGUUGCUGUGGGCGGAAUACAUCAUGUAGCGGUGAAAUGCUUAGAUAUGAUGUAGAACACCGAUUGCGAAGGCAGCUCACUAAGCAAAUAUUGACGCUGAGGCACGAAAGCGUGGGGAUCAAACAGGAUUAGAUACCCGAGUAGUCC